rnacentral:rRNA from 1 species
GAUGAACGCUAGCUACAGGCUUAACACAUGCAAGUCGCGGGGCAGCAUGGGGGUUGCUUGCAAUCCCCGAUGGCGACCGGCGCACGGGUGAGUAACGCGUAUUCAACCUGCCCUUCACCACGGGAUAACCCGGCGAAAGUCGGACUAAUACCGUAUGUUGUCCAUUGACGGCCUCCGAUUUGGACGAAAGGCUUGGCGGUGAGGGAUGGGGAUGCGUCCGAUUAGCCAGACGGCGGGGUAACGGCCCACCGUGGCUACGAUCGGUAGGGGUUCUGAGAGGAAGGUCCCCCACACUGGAACUGAGACACGGUCCAGACUCCUACGGGAGGCAGCAGUGAGGAAUAUUGGUCAAUGGGCGUAAGCCUGAACCAGCCAAGCAGCGUGCAGGAUGACGGCCCUAUGGGUUGUAAACUGCUUUUAUGCGGGGAUAAAGUGGCCCACGUGUGGGCUUUUGCAGGUACCGCAUGAAUAAGGACCGGCUAAUUCCGUG